UGGACAUCUACUUUUCUUCAUUUUCUUCUUAAGUUGAACAAAACUGUUCAUAAAUGUUUUAGAGAAAUACACUAGCUUUCUAUUCACCUUUUGCAAGUAAAAAGAGUGGAUUAUUCCACUACUGACAUAC